AUUGAACGCUGGCGGCAUGCCUUACACAUGCAAGUCGAACGGUAACAGGUUAAGCUGACGAGUGGCGAACGGGUGAGUAAUGUAUCGGAACGUGCCCAGUCGUGGGGGAUAACUACUCGAAAGAGUGGCUAAUACCGCAUACGACCUGAGGGUGAAAGCGGGGGACCGUAAGGCCUCGCGCGAUUGGCGCGGCCGAUAUCAGAUUAGCUAGUUGGUGGGGUAAAAGCCCACCAAGGCGACGAUCUGUAGCUGGUCUGAGAGGACGACCAGCCACACUGGGACUGAGACACGGCCCAGACUCCUACGGGAGGCAGCAGUGGGGAAUUUUGGACAAUGGACGCAAGUCUGAUCCAGCCAUGCCGCGUGCGGGAAGAAGGCCUUCGGGUUGUAAACCGCUUUUGUCAGGGAAGAAACGAGUUUCUCUAAUACAGAGACUUAAUGACGGUACCUGAAGAAUAAGCACCGGCUAACUUCGUGCCAGCCGCCGCGGUAAAAC
rnacentral:rRNA from 1 species